AGAACGAACGCUGGCGGCAGGCCUAACACAUGCAAGUCGAGCGGACCCUUCGGGGUUAGCGGCGGACGGGUUAAUAACGCGUGGGAACGUACCCUUCUCUAUGGAAUAGCCUCGGGAAACUGAGAGUAAUACCAUAUACGCCCUUAGGGGGAAAGAUUUAUCGGAGAAGGAUCGGCCCGCGUUGGAUUAGGUAGUUGGUGGGGUAAUGGCCUACCAAGCCGACGAUCCAUAGCUGGUUGAGAGGAUGAUCAGCACACUGGGACUGAGACACGGCCCCAGACUCCUACGGGAGGCAGCAGUGGGGAAUCUAGACAAUGGGGGAAACCCUGAUCUAG
rnacentral:rRNA from 1 species